rnacentral:rRNA from 1 species
CACCUACGGGACGCAGCAGUAGGGAAUCUUCCACAAUGGGCGCAAGCCUGAUGGAGCAACACCGCGUGAGUGAAGAAGGGUUUCGGCUCGUAAAGCUCUGUUGUUGGAGAAGAACGUGCGGGAGAGUAACUGUUCACGCAGUGACGGUAUCCAACCAGAAAGUCACGGCUAACUACGUGCCAGCCGCCGCGGUAAUACGUAGGGGGCAAGCGUUAUCCGGGUUUAUUGGGCGUAAAGGGAACGCAGGCGGUCUUUUAAG